CAGCCGCGGGGGGCUGCCGGCGGCGGUUCGCCUGGGUCGGUGGUGGCUCCCUGGGCUGCGGCUUUGCCUCAGGGGAGCGGGAACUGGCGCGGGCCGGACGAACCCCCAGACGCCUUCACUGGGCGGACGGUUCUUCCCGCUGCUGGUGCAGCCCCUGAGGGUAGGGGUCUGGCAGCCCGGGUUGCGGGCAACAUCUGCUGCCUUGGGGUGGUGGUGAACUGGUGGCAUCUGGGCCACCAGUGAGUUCUACUUACGUGCUUCAGCCACAAGUUGGUUUCCAUGAUCUGGUUGACUUCAUCCUGGAAAAGAGAGAGGUGUUAGGAGAGGCGCCGGCCCUCCUGCCUCUCCGGGGCGCCCUGACGCGGUGGGUACUCACCACCUUCACCAGCUGGGACAUGGACACUUCGAACUGAAUGAUGACAGGAUCCGAGACGUUCUUGACGGGACGGACGAACCGGUUGUAGCUCUGGAAGAGGGCCUCGUAGAGCCGGUGCUCAGCCUCGGAGCCGCCGCAGCCUGCAAGGGGCACGGCGGGGUGAGCGGUGGCAGGGGCAGACGCAGCCUCCCAGGCAGCCCCCCGGUUUGGGCAGCUUGGCCGAGUCCCAACUAGAAAUGAGCAAAAGCUUCAAAGAUCAGCUCAUAGCCCAUGUUCCCCAGAAGUCUGUGCUUAAACUUGAAUGAUUUGGAAACAUUGGAUCUGCAGAGACAGCAAAGAGCCAUUGUAUCAAGAGAUACAGAACAGUAAGUCAAAUUCUACUUCUCAUUUUCCUACUCUAAAUGCGAUGUGACAUAACUCAGUCGGACUCCAGUCUGUGGAUUGAAGAGAGAGGAACUGAGAGCAGAACGAGACUCAACGUCUGUUAAUUUCAGUUAAUAGAAAACAUGAACUACUCAUCAGCGUGCUCCUCGGGGGACUUCCGCAAGACCAGAAACCACACUUACUUAAUCUGCUUGGCUGAGAGAGGGAGAGCACAAUAGGAACAGAGAACCUAGAGUCUGAGUGGGAUAUGGAUUGGAGAAAAG